UUGAGUCUUAACUUUGACUUUGUUGUUUGUUGAUUUGUCCAUGUCUUCAAGCUUGUCCUUGAACUUUGUCUACAACUUUUUGUCUUCAAUAUUUGUGGUCAGUCUUUGUCUUCAUCAAAAUUCAAGUGAUGUGUGGUUACAUAUACAAUCUGCUCAUUGAUGUAUGCUUGAAUUUUCAAUCUCCUUUUUUUUUAUGAUGACAAGGUAUUGUUGGAUCUGACAACCCAUUGUUGGAU
rnacentral:lncRNA from 1 species